UACAGAGGUCUCAAGCGUUUGUUCGGAUUCAUUGGGCGUAAAGGGUGCGUAGGCGGCAGUGCAAGUCAGGUGUGAAAUCCCGGGGCUCAACCCCGGAACUGCACUUGAUACUGCUCUGCUAGAGUACUGGAGAGGAGACUGGAAUUUACGGUGUAGCAGUGAAAUGCGUAGAUAUCGUAAGGAAGACCAGUGGCGAAGGCGAGUCUCUGGACAGUUACUGACGCUGAGGCACGAAGGCCAGGGGAGCAAACGGGG
rnacentral:rRNA from 1 species